rnacentral:rRNA from 1 species
UACGUAGGGUGCGAGCGUUGCCCGGAAUUACUGGGCUUAAAGGGUGCGUAGGCGGCGUGGUAAGUUGGGUGUGAAAUCCCUCGGCUCAACCGAGGAACUGCGCCCAAAACUACCAUGCUUGAGGAAGAUAGAGGUAAGCGGAACUUACGGUGGAGCGGUGAAAUGCGUUGAUAUCGUAAGGAACACCUGUGGCGAAAGCGGCUUACUGGGUCUUUUCUGACGCUGAUGCACGAAAGCGUGGGUAGCAAACAGG